GGUGAUGGCAAUGUACUUCCUGUUUUGUUGACACAGGUGAUGGCAAUGUACUUCCUGUUUUGUUGACACAGGUGAUGGCAAUGUACUUCCUGUUUCGUGCUACCAAGGUCAGCGUGGAGUUCUUGAGUCUGUUUGGCUGGUUGGAGAGCUAGCUUGGCAGCUAGUGGCUCCAUGACCAUGACUGACCUUUUGUCUGAUCAGCCGUUUUACUGCCUUGUUUGGAAACAAUGAAGAUGUAGCGUGUGCGGCCCUGCAGCUUGGAAGAUGCAGUAUUUCUUUUUCUUUCCAUCCCGGGAUGAAUAUUAAUGAGGAGUUUGGAUGUGUGAAGCCGGGACAUGACCACGGACAAUGAGGCAAGAAGCUGUGGAGAUAAUGAGGACCUGCUGGCUGCAAGAAAGGAGCUGCUGAACAACCCUGACCGUGGUCUUCAUGUCAUCAAGGACACAAAGACCUCCUUUUCAUUACCAGUCGCCUCCUUCUCUUGGACACACACAACUGCACCCACAGAGACCGACAUACCCGUCUAAUCACAGCUGUUACCUCUCUACAUACCCGUCUAAUCACAGCUGUUACCUCUCUACAUACCCGUCUAAUCACAGCUGUUACCUCUCUACAUACCCGUCUAAUCACAGCUGUUACCUCUCUACAUACCCGUCUAAUCACAGCUGUUACCUCUCUACAUACCCGUCUAGUCACAGCUGUUACCUCUCUACAUACCCGUCUAGUCACAGCUGUUGCCUCUCUACAUACCCGU